rnacentral:ncRNA from 2 species
UUCUUUCUGUUCGUAGCUGGUGCCGGCUUAAAAGCCGGAGAAUAGGGAAGUACGUGAAAAUCGUACACUGUACCCGCAACUGUACAACGGGAAAUUGCCGCAGUCACUCAUGGCCACAUGUAUGACAGCCGCAGUCGUUUCAGGUCACUGCAUGUUUUCCAUCCCCGGAAAACGGCGGGAAGGCCGAAACGGAAGUAAACCGUGAUAGUCAGGAGACCUGCCAGUUAUUUUUGCGUGAA